rnacentral:rRNA from 1 species
GAUGAACGCUGGCGGCGUGCCUAAUACAUGCAAGUCGAGCGAACAGACGAGGAGCUUGCUCCUCUGACGUUAGCGUCGGACGGGUGAGUACCACGUGGAUAACCUCCCUAUAAGACUGGGAUAACUUCGGGAAACCGGCGCUAAUACCGGAUAAUAUAUUGAACCGCAUGGUUCAAUAGUGAAAGACGGUUUUGCUGUCACUUAUUGAUGGAUCCGCGCCGCAUUAGCUAGUUGGUAAGGUAACGGCUUACCAAGGCGACGAUGCGUAGCCGACCUGAGAGGGUGAUCGGCCACACUGGAACUGAGACACGGUCCAGACUCCUACGGGAGGCAGCAGUAGGGAAUCUUCCGCAAUGGGCGAAAGCCUGACGGAGCAACGCCGCGUGAGUGAUGAAGGUCUUCGGAUCGUAAAACUCUGUUAUUAGGGAAGAACAAAUGUGUAAGUAACUAUGCACGUCUUGACGGUACCUAAUCAGAAAGCCACGGCUAACUACGUG